rnacentral:rRNA from 1 species
GACGAACGCUGGCGGCGUGCUUAACACAUGCAAGUCGAACGGAAAGGCCCUGCUUUUGUGGGGUGCUCGAGUGGCGAACGGGUGAGUAACACGUGAGUAACCUGCCCUUGACUUUGGGAUAACUUCAGGAAACUGGGGCUAAUACCGGAUAGGAGCUCCUGCUGCAUGGUGGGGGUUGGAAAGUUUCGGCGGUUGGGGAUGGACUCGCGGCUUAUCAGCUUGUUGGUGGGGUAGUGGCUUACCAAGGCUUUGACGGGUAGCCGGCCUGAGAGGGUGGCCGGCCACAUUGGGACUGAGAUACGGCCCAGACUCCUACGGGAGGCAGCAGUGGGGAAUAUUGCACAAUGGGCGGAAGCCUGAUGCAGCAACGCCGCGUGCGGGAUGACGGCCUUCGGGUUGUAACCCGCUUUCGCCUGUGACGAAGCGUGAGUGACGGUAAUGGGUAAAGAAGCACCGGCUAACUACGUG